GCGAGUCGAUGGCGGUGGCGGUGUACAGGUUGGGGUCGAUGGUCACCGCUGUGGCCUUGGCCACAAACGCCAGCGAGCCGGCCUUGAGCGGGUUGGUGGUGGCGGCCAGCGAGUUGGCGGCCGCAAUGUUGACCGCGUCAGUGCCGGCGUAGGGCGUGGCCUUGUCCAGGUUCACGGUCAGCGUGGUGCCGGCCACGGAGCAGGGCGAGGUGGCGGCCAGGGUCUUGGCGGGGGUGAAGGUGACAAUCUUGUUGCAGUCGUCCACGGUGGCCGGGGUGGUGGUGAUGGUGCCGGUGGCGGACAGAGUCACCUUGACCUGGGUGGGCGAGGCGGCGGCAGCCGACACAAUCGAAGGGCCAAUGGUGACGACCGCGGCCGAGGCAGCUGCGUUCAGUGUCGCCACAGUGGUGUACUUGGGCGAGGUGUUGGCCACGGCGGCGGCGGUGGCUGCACCGCGCAGGUUGGCGCUGUUGCCAAAGCCGACGUCGAUGCGGUCGCCGGUCGCAUACGAGCUCACGGUUGUGUCGAGGGUCAGGGUGAUUGUGGUGCCGCUGCCGCUGAGGACGCAGGGCGCAACGCCAGCGCCAGGGGCGACCAAGGUCCGCGCGAUGGUGGAGCCGGAGGGGAUGACGCGGAUGACGCUGUCACAGUUGUCCUUGGUGGGCGUGGCGCCGUCGGCAGCAAGAAUCUCAGCGGGGGAGGCAGCCAGGUCGUACAUCUUGACGGGGAAGGGCAGGGUCACCACGAUGGUGUUGGCAGCGGUGGAAGUGGCCGACACGAAGAAGCUGAGCGUGACGGUCACGGCGCUGGCCGAGGGCGUGUACAGGGGCCCAGACAGCUCGUAGCCGGGGCCAACGUCGGACUUCCAGGCGCGCAGCAGGGUCUGGCCCGAUGCAAUGUUGACAGUGUCGCCUGUAAGGUUCACAAGAGGACACUUGCUCAGCACCGGUGCAACGGAGGGAGGCAUGGAUGGCGACUAGAGGCUACACCGACUUCCCAAGCAAUCACUCACCCGGAGCGAAGUCGGCGGCCAGCGUCAGGGUGAGGGUGAGGAAGUCGGACGAGAUGGCGCACGAGGCCACGGACUUGCCGGCAGGCAGCGCCACAAGGCUUGCGCACUGCUGCUGCGUGGGCGCCGAGAUGACGGUGCCGGUGCUGUCGAUCAGCUGGCUGGUCACAGGCAGCGUCACGGCGAUGGUACGGGCACCGGUGGCGGAGGCAGAAACAAUGCGUGGCUCAAUGACCACGGGCAUGCGGCGAGGCACGUACAGCGCCUGGACAUUGGUGCCCACACGCAGCGGCUUGGCAGCGGCAGUGGCGCCAUUCAGACCGGCGUUCUUGUCCCACACGUCGACGGCGUCGCCGGCAGCGUAAGAGGCGCCCAGCUUGAUGGUCAGGAGGGUGUCGCCGGCGCUGGUGGUUCCCAGUAGGCAGGCGGCGCCGCUGAACAGCGUGCGGCAGUUGGAGGGCGUGGCGCAGGCCGAGACGCCGGCGCUGUUGGUCUUGCCGGCCAAGAGCACCGUCAGCACGUCGGCGCACUCUACGUCCGUGAGCGAGGCCACCUUGGUGGCGCUGUUGGUAGCGCCGCUGUAGAAGCUGCUAGUGGCGGGCAGCACCACCGCAAUGGUGGUGCUGUCCACGGUGUAGGCGGACACGAGGGCGGGCGACACGGUGGCGGCAGCGGCCAGGGCGGCGUAGUCUGUCAGCGUGGCUGCGGCGGUGGCGUACUUGAGCAGGUUGGGGGCGCCUGCAAUGUUGACGGCGUCCCCGGCGGCGAACUGGUCCACGGUGGCGGUGACCAGCUGCGUUUCGGCGUCAUAGACGCAGCUGCUGAUGGUGCGCGUUGGUGUGAAGGCCAGGAAGUUGGCGCAGGUGUUGCCGGUGGUGAUGGUGCUGGGCGCCGGCAGCUUGAUCUCCACC
rnacentral:lncRNA from 1 species